UCUCUGGGCUCUCCAAGUGGACCCCAGGAUACGCACUGUCUUGGAACGGCCUCAGAAGGGAAACGGCUGCCGUCUCCUCGUGGGCCAAAUGUCAGCAAAUUCUUCAGCAGCUAACGGACACCCAGCCUUGGGGACUGGGGCUCCCAGGGUUCCAGCCGGGGACCUGACACACGUGCUGUCUCUCCCCUCUCUGGAGCCGACCUGGGAGGGCCACGCCCCGUGAUCCUUCCAGUCAGCGGUCCAGGUGUCGGGACUGGAGUCCUUGGCACACCGGUCCUGCCUGGCCUCACCGGCGGAAGCCUGACAUUCCCGAAAACAGAACCCGCCCCCUGCGUGCUGCUGUGAGCCCAUGGGAGACCUGAACCUCCACUGAAGAAGGAGAAGGUCGCUUCCUCAUGUAAGUGACGCCAGCCUGUUGAUUGUCCUGGUCAUGGUGGCCUCUCUCAUACAAACCGUGCAGGGAGAACGUCGCUCCUUCUUAGCCCAGGAGCACAGCGAGGCGGAUCGCGGGGAAGCACGCCGGGUCUGCGAUUCCCUCCAGCACCCAGCACUCAGGACGCCGGGUGGGUGCCCCCUCCAGGGACACGGCUGGAGCCGGUCGCGUGAUCUCGCUGAGAGGACGCAUCCCACCAAGGCAACUGAGUGGCCCGUCCAUUCCAGGCCCAGGCGCAAGCAGACAGCGGCGGCCAUGUGGUCACUGGCUGAGCCCCGGCCGAGCCCCGGUUGUCCAAGUCCUCGGGUCACAGCCUUGUCACAGACCGAACAAUCGAAGAUAUCAAUCGGAUAUUUUCCAGCGUGGGACAGCUGUGUACGGCCAGGUGGGGCGAAACAUUGCCCAGCCAGCGCUCCGACGCCCAUGGGCCAGAAGUGUCUUCCGCUGGUGUGACCCCCAGCACCCUCUCACCCCCGCCCCCAGAUUAGAGGGUGUGAGUCACACACAGUCACUGCUAACUGCUCUCAGCAACCUCGCAGUGACUCCCUCCCCCAGGUCUGUCACACACCCAUGCCCAGCUGAUGAGACAGGCAGUUCUUCAACACCUGAUGGCGUUAGAUGUUUUAACAGCUGCCCAGGGCGGAGCCUGCACCACUACGAAAGCUGAGUGUUGCUUAUAUUCCUGAUAACUUUCAUCAGCCCCUCAAGACCUUUGCCAACGUGCUAUGUCUAAUCCAGGAAUCCCUUGGGAAGCGUCUUGUCCCCACGUCACAGUGGGAGAAAUGCCUGCUGGUUACUGGAGCGGUUAUUCUUUUAGUGCUAUUAGUUAGACCUUGUAUAUUUGAUUGUGCAAUACACUUAGUCUCUUCCAGA